CGGGGUGUGGCUCAGUUUGGCUAGAGCGCCUGGUUUGGGACCAGGAAGCCGCAGGUUCGAAUCCUGUCACCCCGA
rnacentral:tRNA from 1 species